UACAGAGGGUGCAAACGUUGUUCGGAAUUACUGGGCGUAAAGCGCGUGUAGGCAGCUCGGUAAGUCGGAUGUGAAAGCCCUGGGCUCAACCUAGGAAGUGCAUUCGAAACUUCCGAGCUGGAGUGCUGGAGAGGAAGGCGGAAUUCUCGGUGUAGAGGUGAAAUUCGUAGAUAUCGAGAGGAACACCGGUGGCGAAGGCGGCCUUCUGGACAGUUACUGACGCUGAGACGCGAAAGCGUGGGGAGCAAACAGG
rnacentral:rRNA from 1 species